rnacentral:rRNA from 1 species
UGGGGAAUCUUGCACAAUGGAGGCAACUCUGAUGCAGCGACGCCGCGUGAGCGAUGAAGCCCUUCGGGGUGUAAAGCUCUUUCGGCAGGGACGAUAAUGACGGUACCUGAAGAAGAAGCUGCGGCUAACUACGUGCCAGCAGCCGCGGUAAUACGUAGGCAGCGAGCGUUGUUCGGAAUUACUGGGCGUAAAGAGUGUGUAGGCGGCUUGGCAAGUCGGAUGUGAAAGCCCCGGGCUCAACCCGGGAAGUGCACUCGAUACUGCUGAGCUUGAGUGUCGGAGAGGUUGGUGGAAUUCUCGGUGUAGAGGUGAAAUUCGUAGAUAUCGAGAGGAACACCGGUUGGCGAAGGCGGCCAACUGGACGAACACUGACGCUGAGACACGAAAGCGUGGGAGCAAAACA